CUACGGGCUGCACCAGUGGGGAAUAUUGGGCAAUGGGCGCAAGCCUGACCCAGCAACGCCGCGUGAGGGAAGAAUGUCUUCGGAUUGUAAACCUCUGUCCUUGGGGACGAAAAAAAUGACGGUACCCAAGGAGGAAGCUCCGGCUAACUACGUGCCAGCAGCCGCGGUAAUACGUAGGGAGCAAGCGUUGUCCGGAAUUAUUGGGCGUAAAGGGUGCGUAGGCGGCAGGCCAAGUCAGAUGUGAAAUCCCCGGGCUUAACUCGGGUCGUGCAUUUGAAACUGGUUUGCUUGAGUGCAGAGAGGAAAGCGGAAUUCCUAGUGUAGCGGUGAAAUGCGUAGAUAUUAGGAGGAACACCAGUGGCGAAGGCGGCUUUCUGGACUGCAACUGACGCUGAGGCACGAAAGCGUGGGGAGCAAACAGGAUUAGAUACCCCGGUAGUC
rnacentral:rRNA from 1 species